rnacentral:lncRNA from 1 species
UGAAAACCUCACCCAUGUGGCACCUGGAAAUGUAGUUACAAUGAACUGAGUUGCACAAGAGAUCUUAGCCAUCUCUGCCUCUUAUAUUUGUUUCAGGAUCUUCAGAGAAUUAGUACCUCCAAGAUACACAAGUCCAGAAUGUCCAAAGGCCUUAAAUUUCAUGACAUUGGAGCAGACUUAUGGAAGAAGUGGAUAUAAGAAGCAGUUGAUUCUGAAAGUGUCUGCAGAAGGAGGUCAGAGGAAGAUUAAGGAAACUGAGGUAAACAGAAGUAAAGUGAAUUGA